UGACCACCCGCGCACAGCGGGUCAAGGCCAUGCGGACAGCCGGGUCAACUGCCGA
rnacentral:sRNA from 1 species